CCUGUUUGAGAUUACAAGUGCCUGAUCCCAAGAACAGCCCAAUCAACUGCUCUUGUUUUUAUACAGCUCCUGAUUAUUUCUCAGGCUUUCCAACUAAGGAGACUCCUGCUCAAGCAUCCUCAGUGUAUAGAGCAUUGGACUGUCUUUGUGCUUAUGCAUGGGAACAGCAAAGGCCUGUGGAAAUGUCCUUAUACUUCAAGAUGAUCAUUUUCCUAUCUGCAAGGAGGAAUGAUAGCUCAAAUAAUGUGCAUUUUUGAAACAAAACAAGAUGCAGUAUUCAUAAGUGCAUACCAUGAAAAUGGGGCAAAGCCUCUGGAUGACCUCGUACCAUUCAGCAGCUGUGCUUAAUCAGAGGCCAGACCGAGAGAGGCAGGGGAGGAUGUCAAGCCAUCCUGGGCUAGUGACCCUCCCUUGUCCUUGAGAACCAGAGGCAGAGAGGGUUUAUUGAGGGCGCUGCAGCUUUGAAAUACAAUAAAGCCUAAUUUAUAAAGGAAA